CCGGGGGGAGCUGGGGGGAGCAGGGGGGAGCCGGUCGGAGCCGGGGGAAGCCGGCGGCCUGGCUGGCCCGCCUGUGCGCCUCCAGCCGCCCCUCCUCGGACUGAGGCGCCCCGCGCGCAGGCCUCCCGGGAGGGCGGGAUGAGCAGCGGGCAGCACCCGGGCCGGGAGCUCCGGGCAGGCCCGGCGCCCAUGGCUCCUGCCAGGUCGAACAGGACCCUGAAUCUGCGAGUCUGGGUACCCCCGUGCCUGAGGGAGCCUCAGCCUGGCCUGGAAGAACUGCCACCGUGGAGGAGCGAUUGUUGAAAGGGAUGGCCACACAUCCUUUGGCCACCAUUCAACCCACUGCAAUGACAGUGUGACUGGCAUAAUGAGGGACACGGAGCUGAUUCAUCAGCACUUCAGGACAGUCAAGAAAGGGUUGGCAUAAAAAAAAUAAUAAAACUGAAAAUAGGCAGCACUUCCAGAUGAGAGUCUGUGCAGAUCAGCUGCAGCAUGCAAAGACCAACCCAUUCUGUUGCUGCACCUGAAAUUCCUCCAUCUCAGAGCUCCUGAGACUCACAUGGAAUCUGACAUAUGCUGAAAUUGAGCUUCCAAAUGUGACCAAGAUAACUGGUGAUUCUCUGGUCUUUCCAUCUGCCGUUUCCGUCCAUUGCACUUCUCAGUGGCUCCUUUAUUUGUCAAGCUUCUGCAGGUUUAACUUCCAAAACUUAUAAAGCAGCUUAUUCUAAUUUGUCAUGUGAUAAACAAGUCAACUUGGAAGAGUAAAUAUAAGAGCAGAGAUAACUGCUCAUAAAUUCAGAGAGCCAUUGACAGUAAUGGGUUUUUCAGAAGGAACUGUGAGAGCUGUGAAACAUUCCCAAAGGUCAAUGUGAUUCUAUGGGUGAUAUUUAAAAGAAAAUUCAAGGCCUUUAUCUUCAGCCUAGAAAGUGUUUUUGAAAUUUUCAUCCAUAGCUGUUUCUAUUCUAUGAGCCUCAUGGGUAAACCUUAGUGAGAAAUCAGCUGAGACUUCCACUAGCUCUCUUGGCUUUUAGCUUCUCCUCCAUUCUUCUCACCCCUACUCUGAAUCCACUGAUUCUUGGAGAUCAUUUGAUAGCACUGACCUAAUCAUGUCUUUCUGUUUCUUUUCUAACUUUUUCGCUUUGUGUGCUAUGAUGAAGAACCUGAGGCAAUCAACUUAUGGGAAGUAAAGGUUUUCCUUUGGCUCAUGGUAUGCAGGGUUUAGUCCAUGCUUGCUUGACUCUGUGGUUUUACUGUUGUUUGCUGUACAUCCAGGUAAGGGCACAUGUUUGAGGAGGGCUUUUCAGCACACAGCAGAUGGACAACAGAGAGACACACAGGAAGUGUCCAGGUCUAAUAUCCGCUUUAAAGUCACACCCCAACCACCUGACUUCCCUCUUCUACACCCUGCACCCUAAAGGUUCUACACCUCCCCUGAGUCUUGCAGAGCUGGCAAGUGAGCUUUCAGCAUGUGGGCUUGGGGACCUUCAAGUUCCAAACUACAGCAACUUCCAACCCCUUAUUAUUGUUGAUAAUAAGUUUUAAGGUUUUUCUAAGUUUAGUCUGAAUCUUUCUUUUCAGUUCCUUGUCUACCAUAGUUCUUCUAUACGCUUUUUCCCUUCCUUGUAAUCUUUGUACAUACCCACUAGAGUUCCCGUGAUAACCUUUCUCCUUCAAAGAAGACUUCUCUUGAACCACAGAUCCAAGUCCAUCCACAGCAGUUAAUCUUAUUAAAGCUCCACAGCUCGUGGAAGAGUUCACGCAGACUCCUGGUUCAGAAGCUCAGGUUCUGUCUGCUCAGAUGUCCACCUGGCCAGUGCCCACCGAGUCCUUAGUGUCACCAUGAGUAUGACAAUGAACAUCUUCAGAAUAAGGUCUCAUCUCUACCAGGUCCAUGACCUUUUUGAUUAAAGUGCAUUAAUACAUUCCCCAGCUAUCCUGAAAUGCAGCAGAAUUGCAUGCAUAUUUUAACAUAAUAACAGCCAUAACAUAAUAAAGAAGUUAAGUAAAAGAAAUGUAAAAUGAGCUUCUGCACAUGCAUACAAUCACAAAAUUGAUGCCCUGGCACAGCUCUCUAAAACCUCUGACAAAGUGCUGGUCAGAUUAUUUCCACUUUUGUUGAAUUACUGUAAGAUGACAUUGGCAUAGGUUAAAUCUCAGAAACCAGUAAUUUAUCAGCAAAUUCAGGGGCCAACAUGCCCUGCACAUCAAUGAGAGGAGUUCAAUGAGAGAAGAUUCCAUCACUUUCAAACCUAAGGGUCGACAUUCACAUGUGUAAUUAACAUUGCUAAAGCAUUCUUCACCUUUAUAGAAAGACAAUCGGGUUUUAUGCUCAGAGUGUUUUGUAGGUAUCUAAAGGUCCAGUGAGAGAUUGUCAAGCUGUGAGGGACAUAGGACAUUUCUGGUGGGGCCACACUGUCACACAGAUUACAAGAUGUUUUCUAGAAACUACCUCCUGCUAAGUAAGAGCUUCCCAGCCUUUGAGUUUUUCUAAUUUGAAUAUGUUUAAACAUUUUCAGUUCCACUGAUAACCUAAGCUAUUAAACUCAAAGAGUUCAUGCUUCAUUUUAGACAUCUUAUUAACUUCUCUAAUUUUAAUUUAAUUCUUGUCCAGUUGUUAUUUCACCAUUAAGCUUUCUUAUUUACCCCUACGUUAAAUUAAUUCAAUUUUCUUCAACUUCCAGGUGGAACAGAUCUCAUUUCUUAAGGACUUCUCAAAAUGGUCCAGCCUGGAGCCAGGACCCACUCUGGUAUGCUCUACAGUGCAAAAGGUAAAUUUCCAAAAGGUAAGUACAUUGCACCAUAAGAAUGGACUAGCUCAUUUGUAUUCUGCUACUGAAGCAUUCUAGUGCUGUGUUAGAUGCUAACCUAACUAUCUGGAAGGCUGACAGUGAGUUCCAGUGAACUUCUGAACAAAGUACGAUAGAGUUGCCAAACUAAGACAAACAGAAUACAGAGAAUGCUGGUGACGGUCCGGAAACUUUCAGCCUGACAAGAACAACAUGUCUUCACCCACCAUUACAGCAGGCGAAAGUCUGGAAUCAGCGUGUGGAUAGGACCAUGCUCCCUCAGAAGCCCUAGAGGAAACAUUCCUUGUCUCUUCCAGCCUCACGUGGCAGCUGGUGUUUCUUCCCGUGUCACCACAUCUCCCUCAGCUGUCUUCAGCAGUCAUGGAACCUGCUCUUCUUGUGUCUGGAGCUGAAUCUGCUCCGCCUCUCUACUGAGGACCCAUGGGAGGGCAUCUGGAGCCUAUGCAGACAACCCAGGAUAAGGUUUUUCCUCAAACUCCUUCAUCUAAUCCCACCACUUGUCAUGGAAGGCAGUGCUCCCAGGUUCUGGUUCUGAAGAAGGGGACACAUCCUUUGGCCACCAUUCAGCCCACUGGCAAUGACAGUGUGACAGCUAUAAUGAGGGACGCUGAGCUGAUUCAUCAGCACUUCAGGAUAGUCAAGAAAGGGUUGGCAUAAAAAAAUAACAACAAAACUGAAAAUAAGUGAGUCCUAAAGCCCAUGAAAUUGACAGGGUAUCCCAGGUAUAGAAGGCUCCAUAACAACCAAGAGAAUUCAGAACCUAUUCAGGGUGAGACCAAAUUCUAGAGUGUAAGACAUCUGAGAAAGAAUUAUGACACAAAUGAUCUGCAGAGAGCAGGUAAACAGAGAGUCUUAGAAAUAAUCACUUGUAUUUUUAUCUUAAUAUAUAUUUAACUAUUUAAGAGAAUGGAAAAAAUUUGCCCCGUAAUGUCAUGAUCAGAGGGUCUAAAGGAGAGUUCUCUGCCAGUUUCUACAAAGCUGAAAUGUGGCCAUCAAUUUGUCCACUAGUUAAACCAUGCAGAGGAUUAGUUUUUCUUUUAAACAUCAUAGCCAAAAUCCUCAUUAAGAUAUUAAGCAUAUGAAAUUCUUCAUAAUGCUAUCAAAGGUGGCAUUUAAUUUAAUAAUUAGGUAGACUGAAUAGAUUAUCCGCAAUGGUGAGAAUCUCAAGUGAAUAUUUCAGCCACUGUAGCUCCUAAUGCUAUAAUACACACAAGUAAGGGAAAAUUAUUUGAGCAUUGAGAAACGUGUGUUUGAAUUUUCAUUUGGUAUCAAUUCUAAAAGUAAAGGAAAAAAUGCUUCUGCAAGCAUAAGAUUAAAUUUAGUUGAGUGUUUUGUAAGCAUUGUUUUCUUAAAUAAAAAAAGUAAAAUUAUGCCCAGA